rnacentral:rRNA from 1 species
UUUCCGGUUGAUCCCGCCGGACCUGACUGCUAUCGGAUUGAUACUAAGCCAUGCGAGUCUUUGUAGUAAUACAAGGCAUACGGCUCAGUAACGCGUAGUCAACCUACCCUAUGGACAAGAAUAAUCUCGGGAAACUGAGCAUAAUUCUUGAUAGAUCAUAAUGCCUGGAAUGGUUUAUGGUUAAAAUGAUUCGUCGCCAUAGGAUGGGACUGCGGCCUAUCAGCUUGUUGGUGAGGUAAUGGCCCACCAAGGCGAUAACAGGUACGGGCUCUGAGAGGAGAAGCCCGGAGAUGGGUACUGAGACAAGGACCCAGGCCCUAUGGGGCGCAGCAGGCGAGAAAACUUUGCAAUGUGCGAAAGCACGACAAGGUUAGUCCGAGUGAUUUCUGCUAAAGAGAUCUUUUGCUAGUCAUAAAACCACUAGUGAAUAAGGGGUGGGCAAGUUCUGGUGUCAGCCGCCGCGGUAAAACCAGCACCUCAAGUGGUCAGGAUGAUUAUUGGGCCUAAAGCAUCCGUAGCCGGCUCUGUAAGUUUUCGGUUAAAUCUAUGCGCUCAACGUAUGGGCUGCCGAAAAUACUGCAGAGAUAGGGAGUGGGAGAGGUAGACGGUACUCGGUAGGAAGGGGUAAAAUCCUUUGAUCUAUCGAUGACCACCUGUGGCGAAGGCGGUCUACCAGAACACGUUCGACGGUGAGGGAUGAAAGCUGGGGGAGCAAACCGGAUUAGAUACCCGGGUAGUCCCAGCUGUAAACGAUGCAGACUCGAUGAUGCAUUGGCAUAUAGCCAGUGCAGUGUCGCAGGGAAGCCGUUAAGUCUGCCGCCUGGGAAGUACGUACGCAAGUAUGAAACUUAAAGGAAUUGGCGGGGGAGCACCACAAGGGGUGAAGCCUGCGGUUCAAUUGGAGUCAACGCCGGAA